AGAUUAGAGUUUGAUCCUGGCUCAGGACGAACGCUGGCGGCGGGCUUAACACAUGCAAGUCGAAGGAGAAGGUAGAAGCUUGCUUUUACUGGAGACUGGCGGACGGGUGAGUAACGCGUAGAUAACCUGCCUAUAGCUGGGGGAUAACACUGCGAAAGUGGUGCUAAUACCGCAUAAUGCAGCGGGGCCGCAUGGCCAUAGUUGUUAAAGGUUUCGACCGGCUAUAGAUGGGUCUGCGUGCUAUUAGUUAGUUGGUAGGGUAACGGCCUACCAAGGCGAUGAUAGCUAGGGGGUCUGAGAGGAUGAUCCCCCACACUGGGACUGAGACACGGCCCAGACUCCUACGGGAGGCAGCAGUGAGGAAUCUUGCGCAAUGGGCGAAAGCCUGACGCAGCCACGCCGCGUGCCGGAUGAAGGCCCUAUGGGUUGUAAACGGCUUUUACUAGGGAAGAACGAGAGGGUUUCGAUCUUCUGUGACGGUACCUAGUGAAUAAGCACCGGCUAACUCCGUGCCAGCAGCCGCGGUAAUACGGAGGGUGCAAGCGUUGUCCGGAAUCAUUGGGUGUAAAGGGUACGUAGGCGGGAGCCUAAGUCUGGGGUGAAAUCUUGCCGCUUAACGGUAAAAUGGCCCUGGAUACUGGGUUUCUUGAGUGCAGAAGAGGCAGGU
rnacentral:rRNA from 1 species